rnacentral:rRNA from 1 species
GAUGAACGCUGGCGGCGUGCCUAAUACAUGCAAGUAGAACGCUGAAGGAGGAUCUUGCUCUUCUGGAUGAGUUGCGAACGGGUGAGUAACGCGUAGGUAACCUGCCUGGUAGCGGGGGAUAACUAUUGGAAACGAUAGCUAAUACCGCAUGACAACAGUUACUGCAUGAUAACUGUUCAAAAGGGGCAACUGCUCCACUACCAGAUGGACCUGCGUUGUGUUAGCUAGUUGGUGAGGUAACGGCUCACCAAGGCGACGAUACAUAGCCGACCGGAGAGGGUGGUCGGCCAGACUGGGACUGAGACACGGCCCAGACUCCUGCGGGAGGCAGCAGUAGGGAAUCUUCGGCAAUGGACGGGAGGCUGACCGAGCAACGCCGCGUGAGUGAAGAAGGUUUUCGGAUCGGAAAGCUCUGUUGUAAGAGGAGAACGAGUGUGAGAGUGGAAAGUUCACACUGUGACGGUACCUUAACAGAAAGGGACGGCUAACUACGUG